UGCGCCUUGCCAGCCCGCUCAGAAACUUAAAGGAAUUGACGGGGGCCCGCACAAGCGGUGGAGUAUGUGGUUUAAUUCGAUGCAACGCGAAGAACCUUACCUGGUCUUGACAUCCCGGAGACCCUUAGGAAACUAGGGGGUGCUUCCAUCUGGAAGAAUCUGGAGACAGGUGCUGCAUGGCUGUCGUCAGCUCGUGUCGUGAGAUGUUGGGUUAAGUCCCGCAACGAGCGCAACCCUUGCCUUUAGUUGCCAGCAGUUCGGCUGGGCACUCUAAAGGGACUGCCGGUGUUAAACCGGAGGAAGGUGGGGAUGACGUCAAGUCCUCAUGGCCUUUAUGACCAGGGCUACACACGUACUACAAUGGCCGAUACAACGGGAAGCGAAGGGGCGACCCUGAGCGGAUCCCACAAAAGCCGGUCUCAGUUCGGAUUGCAGUCUGCAACUCGACUGCAUGAAGUUGGAAUCGCUAGUAAUCGUGGAUCAGCCAAGCCGCGGUGAAUACGUUCCCGGGCCUU
rnacentral:rRNA from 1 species